AUGGACGCGCCGGCCAUGCUCACGCGCAAGCACGUCCCCGAGAACAUCGCCGCAGAGGAGGGCGGGCAUCAACAGAUGCACCGGGACGAGAAGCAGCACAAGCCGGUGCUCAAGAAGGUCAAGGACAAGGUGAAGAAGAUCAAGAACUCCAUCGCCGGCCACGGCCACGGCAACGGCAACGGCCACGAUCACGAUCACGAGCAGGACACCGGUGGCAGCAACAGCACUGAGGAGGACGAGGAGGAUGCGGCGAUGAGGGAAGCCGAGGUGGAGAAGGGCGGCUACCAGCAAGACGUCGAGGACAAGCCCAUUUUCGCGGACUCCAGCCCCGAGCUGCACGGCGCACCCAUGUACGACUCGGAGAGGAUCCCGGCGGCGGCCAAGGAGGUGAAGCACAACGACGCUCCGGGGGCGCGGCUUGGUGACAUUGGCGGCCCGGCAGCGGCGCAUGAGGUGAAGCGCGACGACGCCGCGGGGGUGCGGGUCGGCGACUUCGGCGGCCCGGCAGCGGCGCAUGAGGUGAGACGCGACGACGCCGCGGGGGAGCGGCUCGGCGACUUCGGCGGCCCGGCGUCGGCGAAGGAGGUGCAGCGCGACGACACCCAGGGGGUGCGGCUCGGCGAUCUCGGCGGCCCCGUCGUCGAGGACCCGGCCGCGCCGAACUCGAGGACGCCCAUGCCGCGAGGUGGCGAGGACAUCGGCGCCACGGACGUCGUCCGUGACUUCGAGGCGAUGACUGUGUCGGACGACCCCAAGCAAGUCGACGUGAGCAAAGAGUAUGAGGCAAUGCCGGUGUCGGACGGCACCGGGGAGGAAUGGAACGACGCACCCACGGACGCCGAGUACACCGGGAGCUACACGGACAGGCUCAAGAAUACGGCGGCUGGCACGACAGAGUACGGCAAGAAGCUGGCGAGCACGGUGUAUGAGAAGGUCGCCGGCGUCGGCACGGUCGUGGCGAGCAAGGCGCAGCAGGUCACCCCCGGCUUCGGCGCUGGCGGGAACGCGCAGGACGAGUCCAGCGCAACUGCCGCCCCUGAAUCGAUGACCGCAGGUGCCGGGAAGAGGGACCUCGACUUGCCGCAAGAGGGAACGCCGGCGUCGUUCACCGGCACGGAGGAACUGAAGAACGCGGCCACGGACGCGGCGGGCGCGGAGGGGCUGAAGAACGCGGCCACGGACGCGACGACGGAGGGCGCGCCUGGCGCGACGUACACCGACAAGAUCAUGUCCGCGGCGGCGGGCACCACGGAGUACGGCAAGAAGCUGGCUAGCACGGUGUACGAGAAGGUCGCCGGCGUGGGCACGGCCGUGGCGAGCAAGGCGCAGCAGGUGACACAAUCGGCCGGCACCGCUAUUCCUGGCGUCGGCGCGCAGGACGGCGCCACCACCAGUGCCACGGCCACCCCAGGCGUCGGUGCGCAGGACGGCGCCACCACAAGGGCGACGGCCACCCCUGGCGCGGGUGGACCGGGGAACGGGCAGGACAAGGGGGUGACCGGCGUGACAGCCUACAUCGCCGAGAAGCUGCGCCCGGGCGAGGAGGAGCGCUCCCUGAGCGAGGCCAUCACCGGCGCCGUGCAGCAGCGCAAGGAGGGGGUCGGGAGCACGGUGGCCAAGGCGCGAGAGGUGCCGGCACAGGCGGUGACCAGGGCGCGCGGCGCUGUCACGUCGCUCACCGGCGGGAACCGCGUCUCGGAGACCGUGCAGCCCACCACAGAGGGGAACAUCGGGGAGGGCGUCGCGGCGGAGGGGCCGGUGCUUCACGGCGAGGCUCCGAGGACCAACACGAAUGUGAUGUGA
rnacentral:rRNA from 1 species